rnacentral:misc_RNA from 1 species
AAAGUGGACAGAGGGAGUAUUUAUUUUACCUUUAAUAAAACGAUUCACAACCACAAAUUUCUAUCAUUCAUUUUGGACCACAAGUUUUAAAAGUGUUCCUUUCUUUCUUAAACUCUGUGUCGAGUCAAACUACCUCACAUAAAAUAAGACGGAGGGAGUAUUUGUAAAGGAUUGUAUUGUAGUGUUUAUAAAUAGGUCUCA